rnacentral:rRNA from 1 species
UAGGGAAUUUUCCACAAUGGGCGAAAGCCUGAUGGAGCAACGCCGCGUGCAGGAUGAAUGCCUUCGGGUUGUAAACUGCUUUUAUCUGUGACGAAUAUGACGGUAGCAGAUGAAUAAGGAUCGGCUAACUCCGUGCCAGCAGCCGCGGUCAUACGGAGGAUCCAAGCGUUAUCCGGAAUUACUGGGUGUAAAGAGUUGCGUAGGUGGCAUAGUAAGUAGAUAGUGAAAGCGUGCGGCUCAACCGCAUACACAUUAUCUAAACUGCUAAGCUAGAAGAUGAGAGAGGUCACUGGAAUUCCCUGUGUAGGAGUGAAAUCCGUAGAUAUAGGGAGGAACACCGAUGGCGUAGGCAGGUGACUGGCUCAUUCUUGACACUAAGGCACGAAAGCGUGGGGAGCAAACGGG